AGGUAUUGGCUUAUUUUAUUGAAGAGAACACUCAUGGAAAAGAAACUCAAUAUCCAAGGUGUUGGAGUGGGUGGAAAGUAUGACGUUAAAGAGAUGAUGAUGCUUGUCCUGGAACAAUCAGCUUAGCAGAACGUUGCAGCUGCUUCUUUCCAACUAUUUUUCUGGAUGGGAAAGGAGCAUAUCCUCCGUUGGAAGGAAGAAAGAAGACAAACAGCAGCCUGCAUGCUUUUGAAGCUGGACUAUCAACAAAGGAUCUUCUCAAUCAAUUCACCACUAGCAACAGAAUGCAGGCGGUUCUCAGAAAUGGCUCACAAAGAAGCACAGAGAAAGGCUGUCUGAAGGCAGAAGCAGGAGAUGUUUCCCUCCUGAAGAUGGAAAUUGGACCUUCAAGCUUUUCUGUGGAGUCAGAAGUACCACGGCCAUCUCAGUGCGGGUGAUUCAGAGAGGGUCAGAACACUUCCUCCAGGCCACCCAGGGGAGUUUUCAUUACAGCCAUAAAAGUCAGAUUCCCCAGCCGCCCCUCCUCCUGGGCUCUCCAGCCUCUGCCAGCACGAGGCCCAACCGGCAGUGUCCACCAGCAGAGGAACAAGAAGCAUUGAGGAGGAGCACCAACUUGAGCAGCUGCCAGUGCCAUCUGCACAUUCCACCGGCAGAGGAGACAGAAGCAGCCUCAAAUCCCAUUGAAUCUAAAGAACGGGGAUGUUGAAGAGUGAGACUGAUGACAUCAGCUGGACUUCACGGGGGCCAGGGCCUAAGGGGACUCAGUGGGUCCACUCAGCUCUCCAGGUUCCAAAAUACGAUUUUGCCCAUGC
rnacentral:lncRNA from 1 species